CUACUGUGUUGUCUGUACAGCAGGUGACGACAUGGAGGCACAAGUAGAUUCCAACUGAAACGUGACAUCACAGGCUGGGCUAAACAAUUCCAGGGUUAGGGUUAGGUUAGAAAGACAUGAUCAGAGUACAGAAGCAGUUUGACUCUUUGACUGUAUGAUAUGGGAGCACAAUAGGGUUAUAUACUAUACUAACUUACAAGGUUGAAACAUACCAUCUAGUCAUUACAACAAAAGUUCAGUUUGAGGAAUUACAGAAUGCAGAGAGAUUAAAACAAGACUGAAAAACAGAAACCAAAGAACCUUUAUUAAAUAGUAAUGUGAGGUUUCAGUUGGAUUUUCUUCAUUCCAAAAACAACCAGUAUACCAGGUUUUUAGUUUGAGUGUGAAUCAAGGCUGCCCUGCAUAGUAGGAUGGGGGGGCAGGUGUUCCCCAAAACAGAACCAGAGAGAGGGUGAAUUAGGUUUAACUCGCCCAGUGCUCCAGGACACUUUAGGACCAAUGGAAUGGUCUAAAAAAUGUGCCCGGGCCAGUUAAAACAUAAGCACCCAUCUUAGGUAGCCCGGUCCAGAUCUGGUCGUACCGUCUCAGGUAGCCCGGUCCAUAUCUGGUCGUACCGUCUCAGGUAGCCCCGUCCAGAUCUGGUUGUACUGUCUUGCCAAGUCAUUGUCACACCAGGCAGAGCCAGGUCGUAGUCAUCAUUAAAACAACAGCGGUAUCUUCACUACAGGAGAUGAAUGUUAAGCUAAACCAAGUGAAACAUGUUGUUAUCAUAUGUAUCAAUGUCUAAUAGAGUGCCUUCAGAAAGUACCCGUCGACUUUUUCCAGAUUUUAUUGUUUUACAAAGUGUAAUUUUUUUGUCAACGAUCUACACAAAAUACUCCGUCACAGUGGAAGAAAAAUUCUAACAUUUGUAAAAAAGAAAUACAAAUAAAACACAUAUAUUGUGAUUAGAUAAGUAUUCAACCCCCUGAGUUAAUACAUGUUAGAAUCACACCUGUGUCGUUCUGGGUAAGUCUCUAAGAAUCAGCAUGAUCAUUACACAGGUGCCCCUUGUGCUGGGGACAAUAAAAGGCCACCAAAAUGUGCAGUUUUGUCACACAGCACAAUGCCACAGAUGUUUUAAGGGAGCGUGCGAUUGGCAUGCUGACGGCAAGAAUGUCCGCCAGAGCUGUUGCCUGAUAAUUUAAUGUUAAUUUCUACCAUAAGCCACCUCUGACGUCGUUUUAGAGAAUUUGGCAGUACGUCCAACCGGCCUCAGAACCACAGACCACGUGUAACCACUCCAGCCCAGGCCCUCCAUAACCAGCUUCUUCACCUGCGGGAUCGUCUGAGACCAGCCAGCCGGACGGACAGCUGAUGAAACUGUAGGUUUUCACAACCGAAGAAUUUCUGCACAAACUGUCAAAAACUGUCUCAGGGAAGCUCAUCUGCGGGUUUGGCGUCGUAACCGACUUCAGUGGGAAAAUGCUCACCUUCGAUUGUCACUGGCACGCUGGAGAAGUGUGCUCUUUAUGGAUUAAUCCCAGUUUCAACUGUCCCGGGCAGAAGGCAGACAGUGUGUAUGGCGUCGUGUAUACGAGAGGGUUGCUGAUGUCAACGUUGUGAACAGAAUGCCCCAUGGUGGCGGUGGGGUUAUGGUAUGGGCAGGCAUAAGCUAUGGACAAUGAACACAACUGCAUUUUAUCUAUCUAUGCCAAUUUUAAUGCACAGAGAUACCAUGAUGAGAUCCUGAGGCCCAUUGUCGUGCCAUUCAUCCGCCGCCAUCACCUCACAAUUCCUGGAAGAUGAAAAUGUCCCAGUUCUUCCAUGGCCUGCAUACUCAGACAUGUCACUCAUUGAGCA
rnacentral:lncRNA from 1 species